rnacentral:rRNA from 1 species
GACGAACGCUGGCGGCGUGCCUAAUACAUGCAAGUCGAGCGAGCUUGCCUAGAUGAUUUUAGUGCUUGCACUAAAUGAAACUAGAUACAAGCGAGCGGCGGACGGGUGAGUAACACGUGGGUAACCUGCCCAAGAGACUGGGAUAACACCUGGAAACAGAUGCUAAUACCGGAUAAUAAAGCAGAUCGCAUGAUCAGCUUUUGAAAGGCGGCGUGAGCUGUCGCUAAGGGAUGGCCCCGCGGUGCAUUAGCUAGUUGGUAAGGUAACGGCUUACCAAGGCGACGAUGCAUAGCCGAGUUGAGAGACUGAUCGGCCACAUUGGGACUGAGACACGGCCCAA